rnacentral:rRNA from 1 species
UACGGAGGGGGCUAGCGUUGUUCGGAAUUACUGGGCGUAAGGCGCACGUAGGCGGCUUGAUAAGUUAGAGGUGAAAGCCCGGGGCUCAACCCCGGAAUUGCCUUUAAGACUGCAUCGCUAGAAUUGUGGAGAGGUAAGUGGAAUUCCGAGUGUAGAGGUGAAAUUCGUAGAUAUUCGGAAGAACACCAGUGGCGAAGGCGACUUACUGGACACAUAUUGACGCUGAGGUGCGAAAGCGUGGGGAGCAAACAGG